AAAGGCGUUGGAGAGCGUGGUGGCCAAGGUGAUGAGCGCCAACAAAGCAACCAGCAGGACUUUCCAGGGCAGGGCGAUGGAGUCCUGGUAAAUGUAGCCGUCGGCGCUGCAGUUGUGGGAGAGGUAAAAUCGUCAUCGAAGACUCCAGCACUGAACAACCCUUUCCUGUGUAGCGAUAGCCCAUAGCCAGGCUCCUCUCAAACAGCCUCACUAUCUCUGAAAGUUGCAUUUCAAAGCAAAACUCCUGCAAGUACCAUUUACAAGAAGGAUCUAUGCGAGGCACAAAGCAAAUCUCAAGCAAACUGAAACUGACAGUUAAUCAAAAAAGAUGAUUAAGAAAAUAACCGUAAUCAAAGGAAAUAACUUCUCCAUCAACAAUCAGCAUAUGCCACGACUGCAAGCUCCUGCUGCCUGCACCUCCUUGCCAUGAUGGACUGUACCUUGAACCCUGUGCUAAAAGAAGCCUGUUCUUCCAUAAGUUGCUUUCAUCAGAGUAUUAUGUCACAGCAACAGAACAGAAACUAGGACAGCAUAAAUAAAGUUACAUUGCGUAAAUUUGCCAGCACCCAAAUCUAACUCAACCCUCCCAAGUAUACAGAGCCAUGUUCUAUCUUGUCCUUGUCAAAUACCCCCCAUCUUUCUCUCAGUUACUUCCAAAGGCUGAUGGCUGACACCUUGGCAACAAAAAUGCAUAACUACAUUGUCUUGGUUCAUUCUUCACUCAGUAGAUUAUUGCUUUGAAUCCUACGUGCCAAUAUUUUUUUUGUAUAUAUUAAAUGAAAAGGUCUAAGACAGUGAUGACUUCUCUUGUUAGAAAAGUUUACUUUUCUGCCAAAUGCAUACUCUAUUUUCAGUAUUAGAGUAUGCUUUUAUUAUGUCUAUUUUUUUCUCUACUAUCGCUUGACUAUAACAGACUAGUUAUGAGAAUUUGUCCUAAGGUAAAUUUUAAGGCUAAAACUUUGGGCUGUGGUGAGUUCUCAGGUCAUUGUCAGUUUGUUUCCAAAAGGAAUGUGAGACCCCAGUUCUCUCUUAUUCUUCCUUCUGCUUCUUAAUCACGAGGUAAAGCAGUUUACCAUUUGCCCCAUCUUGGUCCUCUGGCAUCCUUAUCUCCAGUCCAAAUAUAGGUUAACGAAAUCUUAGAAUUUCCAAUCCAAAAGCAUGAGCCAAUAUGCACCUUUCAUAUUCAUUAAUCAAUCAUUUAACAUUUUGGUUGUUAUAGUAACAAGAAGCUAACUAACAAAGUCCCUUCAUGUCCUGAGAGAGGUAUCAUAUAUUUUUUUAAAAUGUUUUUUUGGUGUUAUUUUCAUUAUGUUUGCAUUUUAAGUAUGAGUGUGUAUAGAAAAUUGGCAUUUAGUUGAGUAAGAUUGCUGAGUAUUUUGAGUCAUAAAAAUUGGGUUGUCAUUUGUUUU
ensembl:antisense D430036J16Rik RIKEN cDNA D430036J16 gene